rnacentral:tRNA from 1 species
GUUGUGGCUCAUUGGUAGAGCAUCUGCUUAGCAUGCAGAACAUCCCAAGUCCAAUCCCUGAAGAAGAGAUU